GAUGAACGCUAGCGGCAGGCCUAACACAUGCAAGUCGAGGGGUAGAACACUUCGGUGUUUGAGACCGGCGCACGGGUGCGUAACGCGUAUGCAAUCUACCUUGUACAGGGGAAUAGCCCAGAGAAAUUUGGAUUAAUGCCCCAUAGUAUAUAACCUUCGCAUGUUGGUUAUAUUAAAGUUCCAACGGUACAAGAUGAGCAUGCGUCCCAUUAGUUAGUUUGUAAGGUAACGGCUUACCAAGACGAUGAUGGGUAGGGGGCCUGAGAGGGAGAUCCCCCACACUGGUACUGAGACACGGACCAGACUCCUACGGGAGGCAGCAGUGAGGAAUAUUGGUCAAUGGGCGCAAGCCUGAACCAGCCAUGCCGCGUGCAGGAAGACGGUCCUAUGGAUUGUAAACUGCUUUUAUACAGGAAUAAACAACUCUACGUGUAGAGUCUUAACGGUACUGUAGGAAUAAGGAUCGGCUAACUCCGUGCCAGCCGCCGCGGUAACAC
rnacentral:rRNA from 1 species